AUGCGUCACUGCUUUUUUCAUACACUCACAUCAUAUGUUGAAGAUCAUGGCAGUCGUAUGGCUAUUCCUGGGGUGCAGUGUAUCGAUCAUGCAAUGUCAGAAGACACAGUUGCCAUGGAAGCAAUUGGAUACAUAAAAUGCGUGGUUAAGACUGAACUAAGGGACUACAACAUGAAGAGACUGGAUGAGGAAAAUCAGUCUCUAAAGCAUGAGCUAGCUGUAGCUAAGUAUAACAAGAAGAAAACAAAGGCAAAUACCAGAUCCAUCAAGAACAAAUUAAUGAUGGCUAGGUAUAAGAACAAGAAAUAUGCUAUGGGCUGGUUCGUUCUUAUACAAGAUACAUGCAUGGAUUAUCUGAUCAUAUAUGCAACGUAA
rnacentral:rRNA from 1 species